rnacentral:rRNA from 1 species
GGUUAAGUGACUAAGCGUACAUGGUGGAUGCCUUGGCAGUCAGAGGCGAUGAAGGACGUACUAACCUGCGAUAAGCCGUGAGCAGUCGGUAAGAGACAUUACGACUCACGGAUUUCCGAAUGGGGAAACCCACUUAGCAUAAGCUAGGUAUCGCUGCGUGAAUACAUAGCGUAGCGAGGCGAACCGGGAGAACUGAAACAUCUAAGUACCCCGAGGAAAAGAAAUCAACCGAGAUUCCCUCAGUAGCGGCGAGCGAACGGGGAUUAGCCCUUAAGCAUCUUGGAAGUUAGUGGAACGGUCCUGGAAAGGCCGGCGAUACAGGGUGAUAGCCCCGUACACGAAAACAACCUUGAUGUGAAAUCGAGUAGGGCGGGACACGUGACAUCCUGUCUGAAUAUGGGGGGACCAUCCUCCAAGGCUAAAUACUCCUGACUGACCGAUAGUGAACCAGUACCGUGAGGGAAAGGCGAAAAGAACCCCUGUGAGGGGAGUGAAAUAGAACCUGAAACCGUGUACGUACAAGCAGUGGGAGCCCUUCGGGGUGACUGCGUACCUUUUGUAUAAUGGGUCAGCGACUUACAUUUUGUAGCGAGGUUAACCGUAUAGGGGAGCCGUAGGGAAACCGAGUCUUAACUGGGCGUCUAGUUGCAAGGUGUAGACCCGAAACCGGGUGAUCUAGCCAUGGGCAGGUUGAAGGUUGAGUAACAUCAACUGGAGGACCGAACCCACUAACGUUGCAAAGUUAGGGGAUGACCUGUGGCUGGGGGUGAAAGGCCAAUCAAACUCGGAGAUAGCUGGUUCUCCCCGAAAGCUAUUUAGGUAGCGCCUCGGACGAAUACUACUGGGGGUAGAGCACUGUUUGGGCUAGGGGGUCAUCCCGACUUACCAACCCCAUGCAAACUCCGAAUACCAGUAAGUAAUAUCCGGGAGACACACGGCGGGUGCUAACGUCCGUCGUGAAGAGGGAAACAACCCAGACCGCCGGCUAAGGUCCCAAAGUUCUGGUUAAGUGGGAAACGAUGUGGGAAGGCUCAGACAGCUAGGAUGUUGGCUUAGAAGCAGCCAUCAUUUAAAGAAAGCGUAAUAGCUCACUAGUCGAGUCGGCCUGCGCGGAAGAUGUAACGGGGCUCAAACCAGGCACCGAAGCCGCGGAUUCACACUUAUGUGUGAGUGGUAGGGGAGCGUUCUGUAAGUCUGCGAAGGUGUGUCGAGAGGCAUGCUGGAGAUAUCAGAAGUGCGAAUGCUGACGUAAGUAACGAUAAAGGGGGUGAAAAGCCUCCUCGCCGGAAGACCAAGGGUUCCUGUCCAACGUUAAUCGGGGCAGGGUGAGUCGACCCCUAAGGCGAGGCCGAAAGGCGUAGUCGAUGGGAAGCAGGUUAAUAUUCCUGCACGACUUGUAAUUGCGAUGGGGGGACGGAGAAGGCUAGGUGGGCCAGGCGACGGUUGUCCUGGUGAAAGUGCGUAGGUGGUGUUUCUAGGCAAAUCCGGAGACACAACACUGAGACACGAGACGAACACACUACGGUGUGGAAGCCAUUGAUGCCCUGCUUCCAGGAAAAGCCUCUAAGCUUCAGAUUACAAGUCAUCGUACCCCAAACCGACACAGGUGGUCGGGUAGAGAAUACCAAGGCGCUUGAGAGAACUCGGGUGAAGGAACUAGGCAAAAUAGAACCGUAACUUCGGGAGAAGGUUCGCUCUUGACAGUGAAGUCCCUUGCGGAUGGAGCAGUUGGGAGUCGCAGUGACCAGAUGGCUGGGACUGUUUAUCAAAAACACAGCACUCUGCAAACACGAAAGUGGACGUAUAGGGUGUGACACCUGCCCGGUGCCGGAAGGUUAAUUGAUGGGGUUAGCGCAAGCGAAGCUCUUGAUCGAAGCCCCGGUAAACGGCGGCCGUAACUAUAACGGUCCUAAGGUAGCGAAAUUCCUUGUCGGGUAAGUUCCGACCUGCACGAAUGGUGUAACCAUGGCCAUGCUGUCUCCACCCGAGACUCAGUGAAAUCGAAUUCGCCGUGAAGAUGCGGUGUACCCGCGGCUAGACGGAAAGACCCCGUGAACCUUUACUACAGCUUGGCACUGAACAUUGAACCUACAUGUGUAGGAUAGGUGGGAGGCUUUGAAGGCGUGACGCCAGUUGCGCUGGAGCCGUCCUUGAAAUACCACCCUUGUAUGUUUGAUGUUCUAACGCAGGCCCGUGAAUCCGGGUCGCGGACAGUGCCUGGUGGGUAGUUUGACUGGGGCGGUCUCCUCCCAAAGAGUAACGGAGGAGCACGAAGGUUGGCUAAUCCUGGUCGGACAUCAGGAGGUUAGUGCAAUGGCAUAAGCCAGCUUAACUGCGAGACGGACAGGUCGAGCAGGUACGAAAGUAGGUCAUAGUGAUCCGGUGGUUCUGAAUGGAAGGGCCAUCGCUCAACGGAUAAAAGGUACUCCGGGGAUAACAGGCUGAUACCGCCCAAGAGUUCAUAUCGACGGCGGUGUUUGGCACCUCGAUGUCGGCUCAUCACAUCCUGGGGCUGAAGUCGGUCCCAAGGGUAUGGCUGUUCGCCAUUUAAAGUGGUACGCGAGCUGGGUUCAGAACGUCGUGAGACAGUUCGGUCCCUAUCUGCCGUGGGCGUUGGAUGAUUGAAGGGAGUUGCUCCUAGUACGAGAGGACCGGAGUGAACGAACCUCUGGUGUUCGGGUUGUCACGCCAGUGGCACUGCCCGGUAGCUAAGUUCGGAAUCGAUAACCGCUGAAAGCAUCUAAGCGGGAAGCGAGCCCUGAGAUGAGUCAUCCCUGACCCCUUGAGGGUCCUAAAGGGCCGUUGGAGACCACAACGUUGAUAGGUGGGGUGUGUAAGCGCGGCGACGUGUUGAGCUAACCCAUACUAAUUACCCGUGAGGCUUAACCAU